rnacentral:tRNA from 1 species
AGGGCCUUAGUUUAAUUAAAAUGUUUGACUUGCAAUCAUAUGAUGCAGAGUAAUAUCUGUGGGUCCUA